CCUACGGGUGGCAGCAGUGGGGAAUAUUGCACAAUGGGGGAAACCCUGAUGCAGCGACGCCGCGUGAAGGAAGAAGUAUUUCGGUAUGUAAACUUCUAUCAGCAGGGAAGAAAAUGACGGUACCUGACUAAGAAGCCACGGCUAACUACGUGCCAGCAGCCGCGGUACUACGUAGGGGGCCAGCGUUAUCCGGAGUUACUGGGUGUAAAGGGUGCGUAGGCGGCGAUGAAAGUCAGAAGUGAAAGCCCGGGGCUAAACUCCGGGACUGCUUUUGAAACUGGAUGGCUAGAUUGCAGGAGAGGCAGGUGGAAUUCCUAGUGUAGCGGUGAAAUGCGUAGAUAUUAGGAGGAACACCAGUGGCGAAGGCGGCUUGCUGGACUGUAAAUGACGCUGAGGCUCGAAAGCGUGGGGAGCAAACAGGAUUAGAUACCCCAGUAGUC
rnacentral:rRNA from 1 species